AACUGCAUCGGUUGGAUUGGGAUACUCAUCAAAAAAAUCAUGAAUACCGAGAAGGCUUCUGUUUUUCGAUGGCGUGCCGUUGCACAAAUUUGUGAAGACGGAUUACAAAGAGACAGGGCGCUCAAAUCCUUUCUUACUCGGAGUUUUCAUCACAUCGCUGAUGCAGUUCCUUCU
rnacentral:sRNA from 1 species